AUUGCCCUAGUAACGGCGAGUGAAGCGGCAACAGCUCAAAUUUGAAAUCUGGCGCAAGCCCGAGUUGUAAUUUGUAGAGGAUGCUUCUAGGCAGCGGCCGGUCUAAGUUUCUUGGAACAGGACGUCAUAGAGGGUGAGAAUCCCGUAUGUGACCGGUUGGCACCUUAUACGUAGCUCCUUCGACGAGUCGAGUUGUUUGGGAAUGCAGCUCUAAAUGGGAGGUAAAUUUCUUCUAAAGCUAAAUACCGGCCAGAGACCGAUAGCGCACAAGUAGAGUGAUCGAAAGAUGAAAAGUACUUUGGAAAGAGAGUUAAAAAGCACGUGAAAUUGUUAAAAGGGAAGCGCUUGCAACCAGACUUGUUGGCGGUGUUCCGCCGGUCUUCUGACCGGUCUAUUCGCCGCCUGCAGGCCAGCGUCGUCUGGUGCCGCCGGAUAAAGGCUUUGGGAAUGUAGCUCCUCGGAGUGUUAUAGCCCAUUGCACAAUACGGCGCGCGCCGGGCGAGGUCCGCGCUUCGGCAAGGACGCUGGCGUAAUGGUCGUAAGCGGCCCGUCUUGAAACACGGACCAAGGAGUCGAUCAAUUGUGCGAGUGUUCGGGUGAAAAACCCUUGCGCGUAAUGAAAGUGAACGGAGGCGAGAACCGCAAGGUGCAUCGUCGACCGAUCCUGAUGUCUUCGGAUGGAUUUGAGUAAGAGCAUAGCUGAUCGGACCCGAAAGAUGGUGAACUAUGCCUAAAUAGAAUGAAACCAGGGGAAACCCUGGCGGAAGUUCGCAGCGGUUCUGACGUGCAAAUCGAUCGUCAAAUUUGGGUAUAGGGGCGAAAGACUAAUCGAACCAUCUAGUAGCUGGUUCCUGCCGAAGUUUCCCUCAGGAUAGCAGUA
rnacentral:rRNA from 1 species